UACGAAGGGUGCAAGCGUUACUCGGAAUUACUGGGCGUAAAGGGUGCGUAGGCGGGUCUUUAAGUCAGGGGUGAAAUCCUGGAGCUCAACUCCAGAACUGCCUUUGAUACUGAAGAUCUUGAGUUCGGGAGAGGUGAGUGGAACUGCGAGUGUAGAGGUGAAAUUCGUAGAUAUUCGCAAGAACACCAGUGGCGAAGGCGGCUCACUGGCCCGGUACUGACGCUGAGGUGCGAAAGCGUGGGGAGCAAACAGG
rnacentral:rRNA from 1 species